UCCGUAGGUGAACCUGCGGAGGGUCCAUU
rnacentral:rRNA from 1 species